rnacentral:rRNA from 1 species
UACGUAGGGGGGCAAGUGUUGUCCGGAUUCAUUGGGCGUAAAGAGCUCGUAGGCGGUUCGGCAAGUCGGGUGUGAAAUUUCGAGGCUCAACCUCGAAACGCCACUCGAUACUGCUGUGACUGGAGUCCGGUAGAGGAGUGCGGAAUUCCUGGUGUAGCGGUGAAAUGCGCAGAUAUCAGGAGGAACACCGGUGGCGAAGGCGGAUCUCUGGGCCUUAGCCUGACGCUCAGGCGCGAAAGCUGGGGAGCGAACAGG